AUUUGACAUCGUCCAGUUUGAAGUAUGGCUGCUGAUACAUGAACAGUUUUGAUAAACCUAGAAAUUUUUCAAUCAAUUAAAAUUCUAAUUUAAUUUUUUGAAAUAAUUAAAUUUUCGCGGCAAGUUUAAAAAUUUUUUGAGGUUUUGAUACCUUGACAUCUUCAGCUUGAAUUUCCCGGUCGCAACCUGCGUGACAAGAAUAUCGAACAGUAAGACCGGCAAAAUCUAGGUUAGGACAGCUGAGCCCGAAACAAAGCGUGAAGAUAAUACAAGCAGCUGUUGAAAAAAUGCAAAAUUUCAAAAUUCCAGAGCAUGGAAGAUUCCAGCGUUUUAUUAAAUAACCACCGAGAAAAGUUCCACCUCCUCCAGCGGGCACAGUCACUAAUCCUGUCAAAAAUUAAAGGUUAUUUAUUGCCGCAGUUGAAUUGUUAAAGGCAACACACCUGCUGGAAUUUAUAACAAAUUUUUUUAUAUUGAAAAUGGCACUUAAAGUUUGCUUCCAUAAAUUACCAAGCAAAAAAGAAGAAAUGAAUAUCAAUAGACUACCUUAAUCACUUAGCUUUAUUAUUUGAUUUAAAAGUCAACUUACGUUUUGGAAUCAGUAGUAAGAAAAUCCGUGUAAAGUUUAAGUAACUCUCCGCCAAUCACAUAUCCCAUUGCCGG